rnacentral:rRNA from 1 species
UACGUAGGGUGCAAGCGUUAAUCGGAAUUACUGGGCGUAAAGCGUGCGCAGGCGGUUUUGCAAGUCUGUUGUGAAAUCCCCGAGCUCAACUUGGGAAUUGCAAUGGAUACUGGCAGGCUGGAGUAUGGUAGAGGAAGGUGGAAUUCCCGGUGUAGCAGUGAAAUGCGUAGAGAUCGGGAGGAACACCAGUGGCGAAGGCGGCCUUCUGGACCAAUACUGACGCUCAUGCACGAAAGCGUGGGGAGCAAACAGG